UAUAUUUGUAAAAUUUGUCUACUUACUAGCAUGACUUCUUCAUCCGUUUCAGUCCCCGUUGCAAACACAGUGCCAUCAUCAGAGCUGGUGGGAGCGGCAAAGUCUGGUGCUUGGCCACAGCUGCAGUUAAAAGCUUCCUCGAGUUUCUAAGUGCCUGGGAUGCUAGACGCAUCAUGUUCACUUGGCACACAUUCUGACUGUAUUGGGAUACCGAAAUUCUCGUAAAGUCUUGCUGCCGUUUUGAUUCCAGUAGCUGUAGAUGUAGAUGCAAGGGAAUCGUUCCCUUUAGCUUUAUCUGCUUUUUGGCUUCCACUUGACCUGGAUUUGUGACUGAUAAAAUGCGAAGAAUGCCUCCGUUUGACAUGAUAGUAAAAUGAGUUGUACUCCUGACAGCAACCAUCAAUCCCACAGACCACAUUAAAAUCCGGGCUGGAACUAUGCACAGUGUUUUUGUGACUCAACAAAGCUCUUAAUGAAAAUGCCACAAACAGGCAGCAAAUAACACAACGCAAAAUCAUUUACAUGGAAAAAGCGAAUCAGUCUUACUAUUUUUACCCCAUUGUCUGUAUGUGUCUGUCCCACUGAAAGCAAUCAGAAGAAAGGAAGUGAUUAAAACUUUUAGUCCAAUCAAGGUGGCGGAAUAUUCCAUCGUACUUAAAGUAUGGAGGUGAAAUCAUAAAGCAUUAUUCCUUUUGAAUUUAUUUUAAGUUGUAGAACACUUACGGAAAGUAGUACUAAGAGGAAAUUGUGGCGGAGUGACUGUGAUGGGGCGGAACCAAAAAUGAGGAAGAUUAGUUCCGCCCGGACCAUAUAUCGCAAACACCGCCACUUCCGGGAAAGCCGGCGAACACAAAUCGGCGUGCUAUUGGGAACGGGUGUCUUGUUGAGCGUGGCGAUCACUGAUUGGGCAAUUUGGUGAAGAGGAGACACAUAAAUAGGGCACACAGGAAGGGCCUGGUGAUUCCCAGUAGUUACUGUGGGCGCAACGGAGCGGAGGAGAGAGUUGGAGAGAGAGUGUAUGGUGUACUGCGGAGCUUGGGCAAAGAGAGAUACACAUACAGGGCUGAGUAUACGAAUAUCUUUAUUGGAGCAUUGUGUUCAGAUGCAUUGUGUGAUGUGAAGUUAACACACAUUGAAGAUCUGCUAGGAUUGCAGGAAGGAGAUCGUGCUGCCAGUUGUGUCGGAUGUCGGUUAUCUGGAAGAGAAGUGGAGAGAUCCAGUGUUAAUGAAAGUGAUUGGUGGGUGAGCCGGAACCAGCGAAAAAGGAGUCUGGUGCCUUGUCGUGGCUGUGACGUUCCCUCUGGCCGUCUGCUGCAUCGGUGCCCCCAACGUCCAGGAACUAAUCCCCGGUCCUAUGUGGUUUUGACCCUAAUUCACUGUGAGUGUGUGGAGUGUAGUGGGCGAGUCCUUUUCUUUGCUGUGUGUAUACUUGAAGUCUGCAGUGUCGUGCUGUGUCAUGUUGUCAGUCAUCACCCUCUAGGCUGGGAGAGAAAACCCUGUGGAGAAGAACGUGCACCGGUGUUGUGAGACGACCGUCUUUUAUAUACAUGCCCGCUCGCGGCUUUGGACCCCUACUCCGCCGAGUGGCGACGUGCCAACAAUAGCAAGUAAGGAACAGUGUGCAUAUUGUGGGGGACGACGACUGAGAGAAGUGUGGGCUGCUAUAUGAACAUCCAGCUGUGUAGCCCUUGUGUAUGAAUACCUGUUUGGGGAGUACUUUCAGAGGUUCGCCCCUGUCUAGAUCUCUGGUCCGUUGUUUGGAAGAGAGGAGAGGGAAGCGUUCGAGUCAUUCCUGAGGUACAUACCCGGUGACACAAACCUACCUGAAGUCACUCAGCGUGGUGGCACCAGCUGAGGCCGUGGAAGGCCCAACGUGCAGCGACUUCAAUCUGUACUUCUAUCCACUCUUGGUCAAAUUCGAGAGGUGGUGUGUCUUUCUCCAUAUAUUCACUGAAGCUAAGUAAAUUUGUGAAGGAACUCUGUCUGUCUGUUACUAGUCCUACAGGUCUGAGCUUGAGGCUCUGAGUCGUCGUGGGAGUGUUUCCACGGUUGGAGGUGACCGUGUUGAGUGUUGGUCUGGGAAGUCUGCCCUGGUGAAGAAGACCACAGUUGUCGUGACAUAUACAUCUUCUCUAGACUCCCGAGCUGAAAAGGGCUAAAGCCUGACGUCCACCUCUUCGAGGGUCUGUGAGUUGUAUCCAUUCAGUAUUGUCAUUGUAUAUCCACCUGCAUGCCCAGAGCAAAGCUCCAGUUGCCCCUGUAUGCCCAUCUGUACGCCUCAAGCUAAGAGCCAGCGUAUUGCCCUUGUAUACUUACCUGUAUGCCUAAAGUCAAGCUCCAGUUGCCCCUGUAUACCCAUCUGUACGCCUCAAGCUAAGAGCCAGCGUAUUGCCCUUGUAUACUUACCUGUAUACCCCUCUGUACGCCUCAAGCUAAGAGCCAGUGUAUU
ensembl:lncRNA